UCAGACGGCCGGACGGCCGCGGAAGGAAACUUUCGAGGAAAGUCCGGGCUCCAUGGAGGCAAGGCGCCGGGUAACGCCCGGCCGGAUCGCCCGGUUUGCGGACGGUCCGAGGGAAAGCGCCGCAGAGAACGAACCGCCUUCUGCGGGAGGUAAGGGUGAAAAGGUGCGGUAAGAGCGCACCGCUCGUCCGGCGACGGAUGAGGCAUGGCAAGCCCCGCCUGGAGCAAUGCCGAAUAGGGAUCGCGCGUUCUUCGGAACAGGGGCGCCUCCGCUCCGAGCGGUCCGGGUAGGCAGCUAGAGGCGAUGCGCAAGCAUCGUCCCAGAUGAAUGGCCGUCCCUUCUCCGGAAGGACAGAACCCGGCUUACAGGCCGUCUGACGCG
rnacentral:RNase_P_RNA from 1 species